rnacentral:rRNA from 1 species
UAGGGAAUCUUCGGCAAUGGACGGAAGUCUGACCGAGCAACGCCGCGUGAGUGAAGAAGGUUUUCGGAUCGUAAAGCUCUGUUGUUAGAGAAGAACGUUGGUAGGAGUGGAAAAUCUACCAAGUGACGGUAACUAACCAGAAAGGGACGGCUAACUACGUGCCAGCAGCCGCGGUAAUACGUAGGGUCCAAGCGUUAAUCGGAAUUACUGGGCGUAAAGCGUGCGCAGGCGGUUGUGCAAGACCGAUGUGAAAUCCCCGGGCUUAACCUGGGAAUUGCUUUGGUGACUGCACGGCUAGAGUGUGUCAGAGGGGGGUAGAAUUCCACGUGUAGCAGUGAAAUGCGUAGAGAUGUGGAGGAAUACCGAUGGCGAAGGCAGCCCCCUGGGAUAACACUGACGCUCAUGCACGAAAGCGUGGGGAGCAAACAGG